rnacentral:snoRNA from 1 species
CCAACAUGGAUACCCCAAAGGUCACUUUCCCCCGGCUUUGUCCAGGUGGCGCAGGGGAGCAUAAGGCUCUGCCCAGUGAUGGACAGUCCCAUUCCACAAUGUUGGAGAUGAAGCUGGGCCUUGAGCCUGCACCUACAUAAUUCUACAGCUUCUCAAGUCCUAUGGACAAUGCCUGAGGAAACAAACCAUGCAGGAAUCAUAU